rnacentral:rRNA from 1 species
CGCUCUUUGGAGUUACUCGAGUGGCGAACGGGUGAGUAACACGUGGGUGAUCUGCCCUGCACUUUGGGAUAAGCCUGGGAAACUGGGUCUAAUACCGAAUAGGACUCUGGACCUGCAUGGUCUGGGGUGGAAAGCUUUUGCGGUGUGGGAUGGGCCCGCGGCCUAUCAGCUUGUUGGUGGGGUGAUGGCCUACCAAGGCGACGACGGGUAGCCGGCCUGAGAGGGUGUCCGGCCACACUGGGACUGAGAUACGGCCCAGACUCCUACGGGAGGCAGCAGUGGGGAAUAUUGCACAAUGGGCGCAAGCCUGAUGCAGCGACGCCGCGUGGGGGAUGACGGCCUUCGGGUUGUAAACCUCUUUCAGCACAGACGAAGCGCGAGUGACGGUAUGUGACAGAAGAAGCACCGGCCAACUACGUGCCAGCAGCCGCGGUAAUACGUAGGGUGCGAGCGUUGUCCGGAAUUACUGGGCGUAAA